GAUGAGUUCUCCCUGAGACUGUAAGUCUCCUGAAGGAACGUUGAAGACGACGACGUUGAUAGGCCGGGUGUGUAAGCGCAGCGAUGCGUUGAGCUAACCGGUACUAAUGAACCGUGAGGCUUAACCUUACAACGCCAAAGAAGU
rnacentral:rRNA from 1 species